rnacentral:rRNA from 1 species
GACGAACGCUGGCGGCGUGCUUAACACAUGCAAGCCGAACGAGAGCGUAGAGAAAGCUUGCUUUUUCUACAAUCUAGUGGCAAACGGGUGAGUAACGCGUAAACAACCUGCCCUACGGAUGGGGACAACAGCUGGAAACGGCUGCUAAUACCGAAUACGUUCCGAAAGUCGCAUGACUGUCGGAAGAAAGGAUGGCCUCUAUUUAUAAGCUAUCGCCAGAGGAGGGGUUUGCGUCUGAUUAGCUAGUUGGAGGGGUAACGGCCCACCAAGGCGACGAUCAGUAGCCGGUCUGAGAGGAUGAACGGCCACAUUGGAACUGAGACACGGUCCAGACUCCUACGGGAGGCAGCAGUGGGGAAUCUUCCGCAAUGGGCGAAAGCCUGACGGAGCAA